GCACAACAACUCGUAGGCAUGCAAAGGAUGCCUAGCCGAGCUGCCAGGCAAUGGAGGGUAUAGAGGAGGUGUGACGGGAGGGGUGAAAAUGUUGUCGGGGGCGGACCGCCGUCGCCGUCAGCCUUUGGACCCAAAGUCAAGCCGUGAGGUGAUUGUGAUUGGGGACGCGAGGAAGAGGGCACGAUGAGCAGAAAGGAAUGAUCAACCACCGUGAUGGCGGACGGUUGUGGGUAGACC
rnacentral:lncRNA from 1 species